GAUGAACGCUGGCGGCGUGCCUAAUACAUGCAAGUCGAGCGAACAGACGAGGAGCUUGCUCCUCUGACGUUAGCGGCGGACGGGUGAGUAACACGUGGAUAACCUACCUAUAAGACUGGGAUAACUUCGGGAAACCGGAGCUAAUACCGGAUAAUAUAUUGAACCGCAUGGUUCAAUAGUGAAAGACGGUUUUGCUGUCACUUAUAGAUGGAUCCGCGCCGCAUUAGCUAGUUGGUAAGGUAACGGCUUACCAAGGCAACGAUGCGUAGCCGACCUGAGAGGAUGGUCGGCCACACUGGAACUGAGACACGGUCCAGACUCCUACGGGAGGCAGCAGUAGGGAAUCUUCCGCAAUGGGCGAAAGCCUGACGGAGCAACGCCGCGUGAGUGAUGAAGGUCUUCGGAUCGUAAAACUCUGUUAUUAGGGAAGAACAAGUGUGUAAGUAACUAUGCACGUCUUGACGGUACCUAAUCAGAAAGCCAAGGCUAACUACGUG
rnacentral:rRNA from 1 species